rnacentral:rRNA from 1 species
CCUACGGGCGGCAGCAGUGGGGAAUAUUGGACAAUGGGCGAAAGCCUGAUCCAGCCAUGCCGCGUGUGUGAAGAAGGCCUUCGGGUUGUAAAGCACUUUCAGUGGGGAAGAAAGCCUUGGGGCUAAUACCCUCGAGGAAGGACAUCACCCACAGAAGAAGCACCGGCUAACUCCGUGCCAGCAGCCGCGGUAAUACGGAGGGUGCGAGCGUUAAUCGGAAUUACUGGGCGUAAAGCGCGCGUAGGCGGUCUGAUAAGCCGGUUGUGAAAGCCCCGGGCUCAACCUGGGAACGGCAUCCGGAACUGUCAGGCUAGAGUGCAGGAGAGGAAGGUAGAAUUCCCGGUGUAACGGUGAAAUGCGUAGAGGUCGGGAGGAAUACCAGUGGCGAAGGCGGCCUUCUGGACUGACACUGACGCUGAGGUGCGAAAGCGUGGGUAGCAAACAGGAUUAAUACCCCAGUAGU